rnacentral:tRNA from 1 species
UAAUUUUUAGUAUAAAGGAACACCAAAGUUUGAUUUUGGAGGAGAUGAAUCAAAUCAUCAAAAUUUA